rnacentral:rRNA from 1 species
UACGGGGGGGGGCAAGCGUUGUUCGGAAUUACUGGGCGUAAAGGGCGCGUAGGCGGCGCAACAAGUCACUUGUGAAAUCUCCGGGCUUAACCCGGAGCGGUCAAGUGAUACUGUCGGACUAGAGUCCGGAAGAGGCAAGUGGAAUUCCCGGUGUAGCGGUGAAAUGCGCAGAUAUCGGGAGGAACACCAAUGGCGAAGGCAGCUCGCUGGGACGGUACUGACGCUGAGACGCGAAAGCGUGGGGAGCAAACAGG